rnacentral:rRNA from 1 species
UAAAGAAUAAUGUACUGGUUUGUUAAGUGUGAUUUUAUUAUUUUAAUAAAAAUAUUUUUAUGAUUAGUGGUUUAAGUAUUGUAUAAAGAAAGAAUUUUUAAUGUGGUAGUGUAUUAGUAUUGUGAGAGAAAAUUGAAAUAGUUUGAAAGAUGAAAUUUUAUGAAAGUAAAUUUAUUUUAUUGUACCUUGUGUAUCAGGGUUGAUUAAAUUUUUCUUAGAGAUUUAAGUUUCCCGAUUUGGAGAGAGCUAAUUUAAAUUGUUAGUUAAUGUAGCAUAAUUAUUAAUAAAUUUAAAUUAGGAAUUAAACGUUAUUCGUUCUUCAAGAUAUCUGGUUUUUUGAGAAAUGAAUUUAAUUCAGUUGCUUUAGAUUUUGUGGGUCAUAUUUGAGUGGUUCUGUAAAUUUAAAGGAGUAAUGGUGUGAAGGAUAAGCUUUAUAUCAUGGGUUAUAAGAGGUAAGUUCGUAUUUAAAAUAGUAGGUUUAGAAUUAGCCAUCAUUUAAAGGGUGUUAUAACUUAUUUUUAAGGGAUUUUAUUUUUGUAAUUUUUAAUGAUUUAUCAAAAUUUUAAUUUUAAUGAUAGGUAUUAGGAGAUAAUGAUUGAAUUAGUAUGUUAUAAAUUGUUGUGUGUGAUUUAUUUAGUAAGGUUACUAUAAGGAACUAGGCAAACAAGCGCUCGCCUGUUUAACAAAAACAUGUCCUCUUGGUUAAGAUAUGAGGUCUGACCUGCCCACUGAAUUGAUUUGAAGGGCCGCGGUAUUUUGACCGUGCAAAGGUAGCAUAAUCAUUAGUCUUUUAAUUGAAGGCUAGAAUGAAUGGUUGGACGAGGUGCUGGCUGUCUCGUAGUAAUUGAUGACGGAAUUUAACUUUUAAGUCAAAAGGCUUAAAUGAAAUUAAAGGACGAGAAGACCCUAUAGAGCUUUAUAUUACUUAGUUUAUUGAAUAUGUAGUUGUUUUGUUUUAGUAGGUUGAUUAAUAUUUUAUUGGGGUGAUAGGAAGAUAAAAUAAACUCUUUUUGUGAUUGUAGCCAUUAAUGUAUGAAUUUAUGAUCCGUUAAUAACGAUUAUAAGAUUAAGUUACCUUAGGGAUAACAGCGUAAUCCUUUUUGAGAGUUCUUAUCGACAAAGGGGGUUGCGACCUCGAUGUUGGAUUAAGGUUAAUUUUGGGUGCAGAUGUUCAAAGUUUAGGUCUGUUCGACCUUUAAAUCCUUACAUGAUCUGAGUUCAGACCGGCGUAAGCCAGGUCGGUUUCUAUCCUUAAUAGGGUAGGGUGUUUUAGUACGAAAGGACCAAGCACCUAAAUUAAAUUUUAGUUUAAGAUGUAAAUUAAAAG